rnacentral:lncRNA from 1 species
UGAGUUUCAAAAUCAUCAAGAUGUAACGGUUCACGAAAAAUGAUUUUUAGAAAUUCAGCAAAAUUGACACAAAUUUGUCGCAAUCCGUUCAAAAUAGAGAUUUAACUAAUAUGAUACCGGGGGUGGCUCUUUGAGCAUCUUUUUCAAACUAACACCUUAUAACACCGAAAAUUCUAAAAUAUUCAAUUUUUCAACUUUUUCGAUUAUUCAAUUCAAACUUCAUGUGGUAGCUUCACACACUUGCCGGACGACCGGAGUGGUAGCUCUUUCCAAUAUGUGGUGGUAGUUUUCACACUUCUUUCGGAUGUAACUCUUUUCACAUCUUUUAAAUAUAGGAGUUUUCUUUUUUUCCUCUUUUUUUUAAAAAAUAAUUUUAAACUCUCCCUAAAUUAGACAAUCUUACAAUUGAAAAUAUUUUGACAAAUUUUAGUCUAUUAGCGAAUAUCCAUCUAUCAUAUCCAACACACACAACCGAGAAAGAUUAAUCAUCAAGAGAUCAAAUUUGAUUUCAAAAUUUUGUUGAAUAUAUGUAUUAAGAAAUCAUAUAUUAAAUUAUCGUCAAACUAAUAAAAAGUAAAGUGGAGUAAAACCGAUAAUUAAUAUGAAUUUAAUUCAAGAAGAAUUCCGAUUAAAAACACUUUGAAAAAUUCUAAUCUCCCCAAAAUAAAGAUUUUCAAUCGUCUCCUUUCUCAAAGAAAAUUUUUAAAAUUUCCAAACAUCCUUCCUCAAAUCAUUUUUUUUAAAAAAUUUUGCACACGGAAAUCAUCAUGUAAUGCAAUGAAUAAAAAUAUGCAACAAGCACCAAUCAAAGCAUUACAUAAACAAUCAAAAUAAACUAAAACAAA